rnacentral:rRNA from 1 species
ACCCAGACUCCUACGGGAGGCAGCAGUGGGGGAUAUUGCACAAUGGGCGCAAGCCUGAUGCAGCCAUGCCGCGUGUAUGAAGAAGGCCUUCGGGUUGUAAAGUACUUUCAGCGGGGAGGAAGGCGAUAAGGUUAAUAACCUUGUUGAUUGACGUUACCCGCAGAAGAAGCACCGGCUAACUCCGUGCCAGCAGCCGCGGUAAUACGGAGGGAGCAAGCGUUAAUCGGAAUUACUGGGCGUAAAGCGCACGCAGGCGGUCUGUCAAGUCGGAUGGGAAAUCCCCGGGCUCAACCUGGGACCUGCAUUCGAAACUGGCAGGCUGGAGUCUUGCAGAGGGGGGUAGAAUUCCAGGCGUAGCGGUGAAAUGCGUAGAGAUCUGGAGGAAUACCGGUGGCGAAGGCGGCCCCCUGGACAAAGACUGACGCUCAGGUGCGAAAGCGUGGGGAGCAAACAGGAUUAGAUACCCGAGUAG